rnacentral:rRNA from 1 species
CUUGGAGAAGUGGCAAGUCUUCCAGUAUGGGGAGCAAACAGCUAUGGGUCAAGCCCGACAUCUUUAGGAGAAGUCUUAUUGUGAGGGCGAGUUGUAAAACACCAUAGGGCUGGCCGUCCCAUAUGAAAAGAUUUUAUUAGAAUUGAAUGAAACUUUGUUUAUAUAUUGAUAAUGACAGUAUAUAUAUCGUGUCUUGACUAAUUGCGUGCCAGCAGUCGCGGUAAUACGUAAGAGACUAGUGUUAUUCAUCUUAAUUAGGUUUAAAGGGUACCCAGACGGUCAAUAUAGCUUAUAAAAUGUUAGUACUUGACUAGAGUUUUAUGUAAGAGGGCAGUACUUGAGGAGGAGAGAUGAAAUUUCGUGAUACCAAAGGGACUCUGUAAAGGCGAAGGCAGCCCUCUAUGUAAAAACUGACGUUGAAGGACGAAGGCACAGAGAACAAACAGGAUUAGAUACCCAAGUAGUCUUUGCAGUAAAUGAUGAAUGCCAUAGGUUAGAUUAAUAGUUAAUGUAUAUAGGCUAGUAUAAUAGACUAUACAUUAAAAAUUAUUUGGUCUAUAAAUGAAAGUGUAAGCAUUUCACCUCAAGAGUAAUGUGGCAACGCAGGAACUGAAAUCACUAGACCGUU